AUACGGAGGGUGCAAGCGUUACUCGGAAUCACUGGGCGUAAAGCGCGCGCAGGCGGGCUGAUAAGUUGGAUGUGAAAGCCUAUGGCUCAACCGUAGAACUGCAUCCAAAACUGUCAGUCUAGAGUCUGGGAGGGGAAGAUGGAAUUAGUUGUGUAGGGGUAAAAUCCGUAGAGAUAACUAGGAAUACCAAAAGCGAAGGCGAUCUUCUGGAACAGUACUGAGGCUGAGGCGCGAAAGCGUGGGGAGCAAACAGGAUUAGAAACCCCUGUAGUCC
rnacentral:rRNA from 1 species